CAGGUUGCAUCUGCUGUAGGAAAGUGCGUAGGAAGUGCACAUUCUUCACCACUAAAAAAAGCAUAAGUCCCUCAUGGGAUGGUCGAGUUGGUAAAGUAGGUGAGCCGAAGGUCUUUGAUCACGAGUUCAAUUCCCCCUACCAACACUUUCUUGGUCGAGCCUAUCGCACAGAACUUGCCUAGUGCCGUUUACCUAGCUGACGUGAUUUGCAGGCAAUUGCAACAGUCCAAGAGUUUACCCAGUGCGCACUCGAAGGGCAACCGCUGCGGGUUCCCGGUCAUAAAAAAAAAAUAAUAAUAAAAUAAAAAAGCAUCAAUGGGAACUUAUGAUGCAAAAUCAAUUAAUGUCUUAAGGAGUCAAGCAGCUAAUUAAUGUCUUGGUCAAGGAGUCUAAGAUUCAGUCAAGUCUUUGUUUAGUUUUAAUUAUUUUUUUACAAUUUGUAGAGUCAAGAAAGUCUAUUUGUCUUUCCUAGAUUAUAUUAAUAUGCAUUUAGUAGUUUGAAGAGUCAUUUCAAAUGUCUAGAAGUCAUUGUUGACUACAAAAGAGUCUAUGUACUUGGAUGAAAAAG
rnacentral:lncRNA from 1 species